GGGGCUGUGGCCCAGUGGUAGAUCCCUUGCUUAGCAUGCAGAAGUUCCCAGGUUCAAUCGCCAGGCAUCUCCA
rnacentral:tRNA from 1 species